CGAAGGUAGCAUAAUCAGUAGUCUUUUAAUUGAAGGCUGGAAUGAAUGGUUGGACGAAAUAUAAACUGUUUCAAGAGAAAUUAUAAUAAAAUUUUAUUUUUUAGUAAAAAAGCUAAAAUUUAUUUAAAAGACGAGAAGACCCUAUAAAUCUUUAUAUAUUAUUUAUAUUAUGAUUUUAUAGAUUAAUUUUAUUAUAAUAAAUUUAUAUAUUUUAUUGGGGUGAUGUUAAAAUUUGAUAAACUUUUAAUAAAAAAAUUCAUUAAUUUAUGAUUUAUUGAUCCAUUAAUAAUGAUUAAAAAAUUAAGUUACUUUAGGGAUAACAGCGUAAUUUUUUUGGAGAGUUCUUAUCAAUAAAAAAGAUUGCGACCUCGAUGUUGGAUUAA
rnacentral:rRNA from 1 species